rnacentral:tRNA from 2 species
GCGGGUGUGGCGGAAUUGGUAGACGCACCAGAUUUAGGUUCUGGCGCCGCAAGGCUUGGGGGUUCAAGUCCCUUCACCCGCA